AAUCAACAACAUGCUGGUGACUCUUUGUGCUCUCAUCACUGCUCUAACAUGUGUGAGUGGUGUGACGGUGGUGACACAGAAACCUGUUGUAUCAGUGAGGAAAGGACAGACAGCCACCAUGGACUGUAACCUGGGGACUGUUAC